GUCUCCUGGAAACAGGUAAAAGACAACAACAGAAGGUAUUUGUUGUUUGUUUUGCAUCUUCAAAGAUAUGGCCAUGACCAACACCCAUGAGAAUGGAUGGAUAAGACUCCUUUUGACUUCAGUGCCUAUUAUGGGAGUCGCAUUUAGUCCAAAAGCAGGCACUCUGAAGACUUGUGAGGAAAACGCAGUGCAGGCACGUUGGCAAUGGGAUAUCCUGUCAGUGAAGCUCACAGUGAUCCUGCAUCAGUCACCUGCAGGAGGGCAGGAGUUGAUGACCGGCCUUUCAGUACAAUUUUCAACUGCAGUCGGACAACGAUGGAGGCGCUUAAUCCCAGUAACACGGCCGUACCCGACCGGGGCGUGCGUUCUGCGGAGUCCAUUAGCGGCUGGGCUGAGGCUGGUUCCCACUCCGGCUUUUAGAGAAAAAGUCAAGUGCUUGGUGACGUGGUAGCGCGGGCUCAGUAGGUGGCUCUCCUCCCAGGCUGUGCCCAGCAACUGCCCAGUGCUAGGAGUCGCCCUGCUGCUCGAACAGCCAUCUUUCAGAUGAGGAGACAUAUAAAAAUAAGGUCCUCACUUUCUUCAAUCAUUAAAGAUCCCGUACCGCUUGUCACAGGAGGAUCAGCCUGCUACAGGUUUGGAAUAUCCUGGAAAUGAUCAUGGUAAUCCCGUGCUUUGUCCAGCAUCACAUUCAUUCAAUACAGCCCAUCAUUCCCCAGGGCGAUCUGUGUCGGGUAUAACAGCUGUGGACAGUGUUACGGCCUUUAUCACCAUAGUCUGUACAAUCAGGGUUUAAACUACAGGGGAGCUAGGAGGGAGGGGGCUGAGCCCCCCCAUAAGAGACGAGAGCCCCUCUGUAAGAUUUGAAAAUCACAACCUGGGAGGGUCUCUGUUCGCACUGCUCCUUCACUUACGUGGACUUGUUAAUCAAUGAAAUCAAAGAUCAAGAUUGUCUUGAUUUCCACCCCCCCCAGUCCCCCAAGAGUCAAAGUGUCAUUCAAACCCUGUGUACAAUGCCCCUGUGCGGUACAGAAGUGAUAUUUCCCAUGUGGGGACUAAGACACACAAGGACUCGAGUGAUAUUCACAAGUUUGUGGCAGAGUACAGAACUGAACCUCAGUUUCCUCUGUCCUAAAUUAGCAUUGUAACAACUGGUCUGUCUCUUACCAUUUCACAGUAUGAAAUACUUUUUAGAGAGGCGAUUUUUUUUUUUUUUUUUUUUUUUUUUAAAGCAAAGUUUCAUCAACAGAAAUGAGGUUUUGAGUCCUACAAAGAGGUUGUGGAAAACUUUUUUUUGUGGGGGUGAGGGGGGGAAAGGGUAGGGAUGUUAAUUUUUUUAAGCAAACACUAUUAGUUGGGUUUAAAAACGAGUUGAACUUACUGUUUUCAUGGUUGUCUUCUUUUUUUCCAGUGCCAGGAGCUGGGUGAGGUGAAAAUGGAAAACAACCGAACAUUUUUCAUUUCACAUUGUAUAAAAAUAAUAGUCUAAUGAAAAUGUUGUGAAAGACUGGAGGAAAAAUGUAUCAUUUUAACUGGCUCUGUUAUUUACUAUUGGAGCACUGAACCUGCGAUAUGAACUUUGUUGCUCUUUCCCUUUUCUUUCAAUAUUUUUUCCCCCUUAAACUGUCAGUUUUACUUUUUAGAAGUCUUCAUGUCUCUCAUCUUGGGGUCUGGUGAUUUUUGUUUCUGUCAUUUUUGAGCACUUGAACAACUUUUCAGGAAGUAGUAAAAGCAGAGCUAAUGUCAUAUUUUGCAGCCGCUUGACAGUCAGCCAGGAGCUGACAAUUUAGUGAGGGGUAUCAACACCAGAAAAGAGACGCAUGAACCUUAUGCAUAAUAAUAUGCAGUCUAUUCACAACAGAAGUGAAACAUGAUUAAUGGUGGGAGUUGGAAGAAUGCCUUUCAUAGCGCUUGCAAAAAUUGAAAUGUUUUCUCGCUUAAUGCAUGUUCAGAACCUGGUUUUAACUGAAACGGAGAGUUUACCUUUCACUAAAUUUCUCAGAAACUGAGAAACUUGAGCAAAAGGACCAGGGAGAAACAACCCCCUCCUUGUAAAAUGAAGGUGAGAAGAAAGGCAGAGGAAUGUCUCUUGAGGCAAAUUUUCUUCCUGGACUGCAGGAUGAGCCUUGCUGUUGCGGACACUGCCAGCCCAACAGGUGUCAGAAAUGGGCAAGUGGUCAUUAAGCCUAUGAAUCUUAUUCCUGAGGCUGUGAUAACAGCCAUGGAUUAUUUAAACAAAGGGGUGGCAGGCAAGCAUGAAAGGAAAAUUAGUGGAGAGACUCUCUGCAGUAAACAAUGGUGUCUCUCACCCGGCCAUGGCCAAACUGCUUCACAACCUAGAAAAGUGGGUCAGAGCCACCCCUACCCCCCAACCCUGUCAAAGUGAUUUGAGCUGCUAUUGUAAACUUCACAAUGGGAAACUUUGGCUCCCACAUUCACUAAGCAAAACUGAUUUGUUUUUUACCAUUUGGGACAAAGCUGCCGGAUAAUUUUUCACGCAAGCACAAUGCAGCCGUUCAGCUGGUUGUGGAGAGCUGAUGGCAUUGUGAAUAGCUUUUUCUUUUAAUCAGACACCAUUGCUUUCAUUCGUUGUUUGAUGCUUUAAAUCUAAUGUAUACAUUUGCGAGAUCUGCAUACAAUGUCCAGAAACCUGUUCGUUUGUUUUAUUAGCCCGCAGAUAGGCGUAGGUCCCAGCCAUCUAAAGUUUGAGAGUGUUUUAAAUUCUUCAAUCUGUUGCUUGAAAUAAUUCUGGGCUUGUUGGCUUAUACCGUUCUGGGGAAAUUAAAGUAAAUAUAUUAUUUAGAAAAAUACUUUCAUGCAGGGUGAAUGGGUCCAUAUACAAUCCCUCUGUCCUCUGUUUCUUACUAUUUUUAAAUAAUUUUUCAGCUCUUUUUCGGUCUACAGCCAUCCCAUGUGCAGGCUUAAACUCCCUGCAUGUUCUCAAUGCAUUUUUACCCUGGUUUCUCUCACUGAGCUUAGUGGCACCCCCUUCUUCUGUAGAAAGGGAAACCAGGCUGCUCUUUCUACCAGUAUCAUGACCAUCCACCACUGCUUGUCAGCCAGGAGAGAACCUGGGACUUCAGCUAAUAGAAAUCAUUGCAUUUAGCCAGUAGUGGUAAGAAGCCCUUAUUCAAACUAAGUUACUUAUGUCACUUCCUAGAUGAAAUAAGACUCCAGGGUAUGAACCUGUUUCCACCACUGGACUCAUUUUACUAUGCACUCAGGGCAUGCCUUUUUCUAAAAAAAAAAAAAGCACAUGCUCCGUCAUGUCUUCAUUCUUUACAUAAGGUUUUGUUGGGUUUUUUUGCCCCUUGUAAGUUGUCUGACUUGAUGAGCCGUGCUCACAGGAGCUCUCUGAAUGAACCCAUUCAGCCAUGGAGGCAGGACAGCUGUGCUGGACAAUGCUGUUAAGUUGUACUGCAACUGCUCUUUGCCUCAUGUAGGCAAGUUAAGGACCGAGUUUAGCAUUAGGGUUAAAGCAGGGUAAAAAUUUCCCUAAUUUCCCUUUAGGUCGAGGUUGCCAACCUUUGGAAGGCAUGCCACAAAUUAGCCCUGGAAAUCCCCUUCCUCUGCCUGAUCUACUGCUCUGCUUUCAGCUCUCUAUUCUCUGCCCUCCCCUGCCUGAUCUCUUGCUCUGCUUUCUGCCCUAUCUGCUGCUAUGCAGCCUGGCCCCUUCCUGAUUUGCCAUGUACCACAUACACUUGGGGCACUUAUGCCACAGGUUGGCCACCCCUGGCUUAGGCAACUGUCUGGGUGCUGUUGAAGAUGCCUCAGUUGCUUUAAAUGUCAGCAAUACAAUCCACUUUUACCAGUUUAUGCCUGACUCGUAAAUACCCUUUUGAAGAGCACAGCUCAUGAAUCCUAGUCACUCUCUGGCUAAGUUCACUCAGUAAAUAGUGCUGGAGUUAAAAGGAAAUCAAGGUCUCUUUCAGUUUCCUGCUGUAACUUUAUGGACACUGUAUUGGUUCCUUAGAUCUUGCUGCUAUCUGAACCUUUUAACAACGGAAACCUGAUUUGGAGAAACUUAGCCAGAGAAACCAUUUGGAUGUUUGACAGCAGAAUGACUGCUUGGCUUUUUGUUGGAUCUUGUUGCUUCCAGUGCUGCCUCUGGCAAGUAUGCUAUCUGUACUAAUCAAAUCAGUGUGCACAGCACAUAAUUUUGACAGGACAAAUAUUUCUUAAUAAUUUGGUAGGAGCAUGCACACAAGAGAACUAGAUUUAUAAUUAGACCUAGUCACAAAAGCUGGAAGCGUGUUUAGGUUCAUUGGAGUCUGGUGGCCAACUCAGCUAAUUGGAUGAAAAUCCUCCUUUUUUCAGUUUGUACGAUGUCUGUUUUUUCCCAAACUCAUUAAAUGCAGCUGUACUUUGAAGUUUGUAACAACAGUCUCAGUGAAGGCUAGUCUCAAGUUAAUAGCUGUUCUGUUCUUGCUCUCUCCAUCUCAGACCAUUUUGCUGGUGGCUAAAACAUGCCCAAAUUUUCUCUCCCUGUGGUUCCUUCCCUCAUUUUGACUUGGAAUUGUCUUGCUAAUCAUUACACCUAUAAAUGACACUGGGGACUUGGAGGCUGUCAAAAGCCGAAUCUUUACAGGGAAUUUUUGUAGAAGAGAAAUCUUAUCUUUUCUGACACACCUGGUGCUGGUUUAUAUUUUAUAUCUGAAAUAAACCACACAACUCUCAACAUCCUUUCCUAGAUGGGACUGUAAUUUUGGAUUCUGUGAUUGCCUCACAGUUAAGGUUGUGUUACGUAUAUUAGGUUUUUGCAUUUUAGCCCAAACUGCAAAACCUUUUUUGUAGGAAAAAUGAAUAUUUUAAUCAAAAUGCUGCAUUUUUGCUUUUAGAAAGUUUCUGAAUUUUUCUCAAGGUUUCUUCUGUAGUUUCAGACCCUCUUAGAAAAAUGUUUUAAAAACUAAACAACAUUCCUCCUUCCCUUUUCUGAAACUUGGGUUGUUUUGUUGCUCUGUUUCCUGCAAAGAUUCCCUCAUAGUCACUGUACAGUCAAUAUGUAGUGGCAACCAAAAAAGUCAGUAAAAUGUAGGGCAUCCUCAAGAAAGGAAUUGAAAACAAAACUAAGAACAACCACGAUAUGAAUCCAUGGGACAUCCAUAUCUUGCAAGCUGUGGGCAGUUUUGGUCUCCGCAUCUGAAAAAGGAUGUAGUCGAAUUGGAAAAAGCAGAGAGAAGGGCAAUCAAAAAGAGCAGUAUGCCAUACCAGGAGAGACUAGGGCUCCUCAGUUUAGAAAGGAGAAGGCUGAAGGGAGGCACAGAGGCUUAUUGUAGUACUAGGGAAGAAUAUAAGAGCAUCGAAUGAGCAUGCAAGGAGAAAUUAGGAUGUCCAAGACAUUAUAUAAUGUGCAGCUUGAAAGGGGCAUGAAAGGCAAUACAAAGGGAUUCUGCAAGUAUGUCCGAAGUAGAGGAAGACCAGUGAAACCAUUGGUUCCUCGUGGAAUGCAAUCUAGUUAUGGAUGAUGCAGGGAAGGCUGACAUGUUUAAUUAAUUUUAUUUUAGUCUUCACAAAUAGGGGCAGCUGUCAGAUGAUGAGUGCAGUUGUCAGCCAAGAAAGGGAAGGAGACAAACAGCCUAUAGUAGUAGAAGAACAGAUUAGGUACUACUUGGAGAAGUUAGAUGCAUUCAAGGCAGCAGAACUGGGUAGGAUGGACCCUAUGUACAAAAUUGCUUAAGGUAAUUUCAAAGCCAUUGGCUAUCUUCUUUGAGAACUUGUGGAGGCUGGGGAUGUCCCAGAUUAUUGGAAAAAACACAAAUAUAGUGCCAAUCUUUAUGAAAGAGAAGGAGGAUUACACGCAAAUCAGCCUCACCUCGAUACCUGGAAAGAUCAUAAAGUCUACUGUAUAACACCUAGAAGAGAUGGGGAUCAGGAACAGCUGGCAUGGAUUCACCAAGAGCAAGACAUGCUUGACCAACCUGAUGAUAAAGUGAGAGGCUCUGUGGAUGGGGGGAGAGCAGUGAUACCUUUAGCAAGGUUUUUGACAGCAUCUCCCACAACAGUCUCAUUAUCAAGCUAAAGAACUACAUACUAGAUCAGUGGUUUUCAACUUUUUUUCAUUUGCCCACAUGGCUGAAUGAGGAAGUGAGAUGCAUGUGACUCUCACUCCAGCUGGUCUGGGGUGGGCGCCACGUGGGUACUGGACUGGUUGGAGCAGAUGCUGGAUCUGGUAUGUGGCAUGCACAAAGUCUGUCCUCCCCUUCCACAUGCUAGAUCCAGUGCCCCCCUCUGGCUGGUCCGGGACCUGUGCUACAUAUGACACCCAUCCCAGACUGACUGGAGAGGGUGCCACAUGAUGCCUGUAUUAGACACCAGCCAGAGAAGCUGCUGCAUGCAGCUUAGUCCCAGACUGGCUGGACCAGGUGCUGGAUCCAGUAUGCUGGGGGUGGGGGAGGUGUUGGUCCUGGACAGCAGGGCCUUGAAUAUCUCCCCCUGGGCCAGAUCCAGCCCUUGAAGCCACAUCAUUGAUACCCACACUAUAUUUCUGCAGGAAAAUAAAUAACUAAAGAACAUUUUUCAAUUAAUGCACUAAUAUUGCUACCAUUGGCAUACUUUUAAAUAAUAGAAGUGGCUAACAGUACAGUAUAUUGCAAAAGGCAGAUUGUUCCAGUAUUAAUACACAACUAAAAUACUUUUUUUUCAAUUACACUAUUUAAAAAGAUGCUUUCAUUUGAUUUAUACUUAAAGCAUAUUCCUGAGUUAUGAACAAUGGUAAAAUAUUCUUAUAGUAGAUGUUAAUAACUUAUGUAUGAGUACAAAAGCCAAUUCAGAUAGGAAAACUGCAGUACUUACUGUGAAAAAUUAGCUUGUGAAAUCUGCAGACGCUUCAAACUUUUUACAGAACAGGCUCAUAGAGCAAGUGUAUGUGAAUAUCCCAUGGUGGACUUGAACUCAUAAGACAUGAAGGUAUUUUUUUUUCAUAAGGACCUCUCUAUCUCAGAGGCUGUUUCAUCCAACAGUUGCCCUUCUGUACUCUGAGAAUUAGUAUAACUACUGCAGCUUGACUUGGUAGCACAAUAAGCACUUAGUUGGGCAAGGUUCUGAAAACCCACAAUUUCUAUUGGGUUUCACAGGAGUUGAAGGUGUCCAGUACUUUUUGGGAUCCAGCCCAUAUGUGAGGAGACAGCAGGGGCAAAAAGUAAUGCCUGCAUCAUAUUCUUCUUGGUCCUCUGGUCCUCUCCUAACUUCACUAACAUGCAGAUGCCAGAUGUGUGUGCGCCUGUCAGAUUAUAGAAACAGACAUUUUAGAGGUGAGUUCAUAUGGCAGAUUGAUUAUGGUUCUUCCUAACAAUGGGUUUGACACUUGAUUGCAAAGGUGAGCAUAACACAAAAGUGAGCAAUGAAUUAACCUAGGUGGAAAAAUUAAAGUGGUACAUCUGUCACUCUCUAUGCAGCACUCUCUCCCUCCAGAUUUUCAAGAGCUCACCACUUGCGUAGGCAAAGUGACGUUUUGUCAAGGGUGCUGAGCAUUUCUGGAAAAAAAACAAGCUGUCUGAGGUCUUUUGACACUUAUUUUUACAGGUGGGAAAACGUAUUAGGAAGCCUCUUCUCACUCAUGAAUGUAUUUCUUAUGACUGGCAUUUGCCAUCCUGUGCCUUCUAAAUAUACAAAGAUAGGAAAUGCUUUAUCUAUUAAAAGAGUUCACAUAUAUUUUCUCUUUGUGCAUGUAUGCUCUCUCUCUCUCUCUCUAGAUAUAUAGGCAGUACCAGUGGUGUUUGCUUUUUCUGGUCUAUUUUUGCUAUGUUUUGACAGGAUUUGUGUCAUGAAUGUGUGUCUGUCCCAGUCCCAAUUGGUGAAUCAUGCUGUUUAAUUGGAUUAGUCAAUGAGACAAAAAAAUGUCUUCUGGAAAUAAAAACAAGUGUGGCUUUGAGCUUGUGGACUGUGUUUGUUGGGAGCAGCCUCAGUCGCCAAUGAUUAAGAAAAAUGGUGAGUUAUUUUACUCCCAUUUGAAUGAAUGGUCACAGUUAUUGAAAGCAGUGAUGACAGGAGAAAAAUGCUUGCUUUCUAAUAGUUUUGUUUGUUUAUAAAGGGGAAAUAACUCGCACAGUAAGCACACAAGACACGGAAAUGAAGCAAUGUUGACAACUAUUGAUUGAUUGAAGUCUGUCAUACAUCUCCUGGCCAUGAAUGUGUCUUUAUAAGCAAACUUUGGCAUCAUAGAUAUGUGGGCAAUAGCCAGCUGUGGCAAUGGAAAAGCCUGACCUGGCAAUGGACUGCUGUAAAGUUUAAAAUGAGAUGUUAGAUAAUUCUGUUUUUAUGGCUGCUCCUGUUCCCCAAAAGUGCUAUUUCUGUUAAUUCUCCUCUUCCCAAACCAAGAGUCAAGGUGGCUGACAAUAAUAAAGAAAUGUAUUUAUUUAGUGUA